UAACCUAUCCAGUGAUGGAUAACUGAACUGUUAGAAGUCAGCAGACGUCAUAGUAGCAUGAGAAACGCGUUAUCAUGUGAAGGAC
rfam:Caloramator mitchellensis strain VF08 ABG79_contig000002, whole genome shotgun sequence.